rnacentral:rRNA from 1 species
CCUACGGGAGGCAGCAGUGGGGAAUAUUGCACAAUGGAGGGAAGUCUGAUGCAGCGACGCCGCGUGAGUGAAGAAGGAAUUCGGUUUGUAAAGCUCUAUUAGCAGGGAAGAAAGUGACGGCACUUGAACAAGAAGCUCCGGCCAAAUACGUGCCAGCAGCCGCGGUAAUACGCAAGGAGCAAGCGUUAUCCGGAUUUACUGGGGGUAAAGGGAGAGUAGGUGGCAGAGCAAGUCGGAAGUGAAAACCCAAGGCUCAACCAUUGGAAUGCUUUAGAAACUGCUCAGCUGGAGUGCAGGAGAGGCAAGUGGAAUUCUUAGUGUAGCGGUGAAAUGCGUAGAUAUUAGGAGGAACACCAGUGGCGAAGGCGGCUUGCUGGACUGUAACUGACACUGAGGCUCGAAAGCGUGGGGAUCAAACAGGAUUAGAUACCCGUGUAGUC